UGGGGAAUAUUGGACAAUGGGCGCAAGCCUGAUCCAGCCAUGCCGCGUGAGUGACGAAGGUCUUCGGAUUGUAAAACUCUUUUGGCGGGGACGAUAAUGACGGUACCCGCAGAAUAAGCCCCGGCUAACUUCGUGCCAGCAGCCGCGGUAAUACGAAGGGGGCUAGCGUUGUUCGGAAUCACUGGGCGUAAAGCGCACGUAGGCGGAUGUGCCAGUCAGGGGUGAAAUCCCGGAGCUCAACUCCGGAACUGCCUCUGAUACUGCACGUCUUGAGUUCGAGAGAGGUGGGUGGAAUUCCUAGUGUAGAGGUGAAAUUCGUAGAUAUUCGGAAGAACACCAGUGGCGAAGGCGGCUCACUGGACGUGUAUUGACGCUGAGGUACGAAAGCGUGGGGAGCAAACAGGAUUAGAUACCCAAGUAGUCCCUGAGCGGGCUGGCAAGGCGCAU
rnacentral:rRNA from 1 species